AUGAGCAGCGGCGGCGGCGGCGGAGGAAGCCCCACCAACUCUGAAUGGCGCUUCAACCAGACACUCCGCAACGUGCAAGGAAUGCUCAAAGGACGAAGCUUUCCUGGGAAGGUUAUGCUAACCCGAAGAUCUGAGCCUAUUUCACCUCCUGAAUACUCCCCACGCUCUGAGAAUGAUCGCUAUGAAUAUGAACAAAAUGAAGGCUCACAGGAGGUAGAAGGGCAAGCAUCUGGAAAUACAACUGAAAACAUCAGUUCUAAGAAAUCAAUUUCACCAUCGACAAGUAGCGUCAAUUCAUUACCAGAUGCCCAAGGAUUAGUUUCUGGGGCUAGAGCAACAGAUUCCGCAAGGAUUACCAAAUUCACAAAUGAACUCUCUAGGCCAGCUGUUAUAUUAGAUAAAUUGCGUGAGUUAUCUUGGAGUGGCGUGCCACCUUAUAUGCGACCUAACAUAUGGAGGCUUCUUUUGGGAUAUGCACCACCCAAUGCGGAUAGAAGAGAAGGUGUUUUAACGAGGAAAAGACUUGAGUAUGUAGAAUGUGUUUCUCAAUACUAUGAUAUUCCGGAUACUGAACGCUCAGAUGAAGAGAUCACCAUGCUUCGCCAGAUUGCCGUUGAUUGCCCAAGAACUGUGCCCGAUGUCACAUUUUUCCAGGAUCCUCAGAUUCAGAAAUCGUUGGAGCGCAUCUUAUAUACCUGGGCCAUCCGGCACCCUGCAAGUGGCUAUGUCCAAGGAAUAAAUGACCUUGUUACGCCGUUCUUGAUUGUGUUCUUAUCAGAGCACUUAGAAGGCAAUCUGGACACUUGGUCCAUGGAAAACCUUUCUUUGCAGGAUGUUUCUAACAUAGAAGCAGACUGCUAUUGGUGUCUCUCGAAGUUUCUUGAUGGCAUGCAGGACCAUUACACCUUUGCACAACCUGGAAUACAACGCCUUGUAUUCAGGUUGAAAGAGUUGGUUCACCGAAUAGAUGAACCUUUAUCGAGGCACAUAGAGGAACAAGGGUUGGAGUUCCUUCAGUUUGCCUUCCGUUGGUUCAAUUGUCUUCUGAUACGUGAGGUUCCUUUUCAUCUCGUGACACGCUUGUGGGAUACGUAUCUUGCUGAAGGAGAUUAUCUACCAGAUUUUCUCGUGUACAUAUCAGCUAGCUUUUUGUUAACAUGGUCAGAGAAGCUGCAGAAGCUGGAUUUCCAGGAGAUGGUCAUGUUCCUCCAGCACCUGCCGACCAGGAACUGGGCGCACCACGAGCUCGAGAUGGUCCUCUCCAGGGCGUACAUGUGGCACACCAUGUUCAAGAGCUCGCCCAGCCAUCUCGCCAACUAG
rnacentral:rRNA from 1 species